rnacentral:lncRNA from 1 species
ACAAAAUUAACCAACUUAUUAUCAAGUACAUGGCUUUGACUAUCCCAUGAAAUUUAUGGCACAUAAUAUGAAAGAGGCUAUUUUGAUGCAUGCCAAAACUUGUGGCAAGUUUUGAUUUUUUUAUUGAUAGAAAAUUAAUCAAGAGCCUUUACAUCAUAUCAAAAUACAGAUGUAGAUGGAUCCUUAACGUUACAUUACACUUUCAAGUCUCAACUAUCAUUGUGUUCAGCUAAAACAUCGAACAGGGCAUUAUAUCAUUACAUAAAUAAGAUACUAAAAGAAAUAACAACAACAACAACAAAAAUUAAGAAAUAUAUAUAGGAGCUUAAUUUACAUGACUCAUGGAAACAGCCACCAAAUUAAGGUUGUUUUGUUUCAUUGUCUUGCCUCAAAUUGCUUCAAUUAUUCAAACUCGAGAGUGUUCUAUGAACUUCCUUAAGAAAGUACCUAGUAUUAGUAGAAGAGGCACACGAAGAAGCAGCAAUUGAUGAAGCUGAAUUUGGUGAUGAGUUUUUAGCUAGUGAAUUUAUUACACUAUCAUUUGAGCUAAUUUCCUUAUCCUCUUCACUAAUUGUUUCCAACAUCUUUGAUGUUCUAUGUCUCAUCACACUAACAUAUUGUGGUGGUGCCACUUCCAUGAAAAACCUUGCAAUGCGAGAAUUUGCCAUUUGUUAAUGUGAAUUUUACUUCAAAUGUUCGGAGAAAAAUAUGAAAAUUGAGGUAAAGUUGUUUUUUGUAUUUGUAUUGAAGAGGAUGUGUUUUUGAAGCACAAGGCAUGGUUCAAUUUAUAAGGGGUGGCUAAAAAAUAAUAACUAGGCUUAAAUUGAGUCAAGGGUCUUAAUCUUCGAGAGUUAAAUCAAAUUUUAUAUGUUAGUGCCGCCUCAAGCUUUUUACAUUAAAUGUGAUUGCAUACUAACUUACAAGAUUUUUUUAUAAUGUGGGACAUGUUUGGUAUGUGUCAAAAUUUGGAUGGAAAUUCUUAUAUCCUUGAAGAUAUGGUUUUUGUUUUGUAUAGUGACUUCCAAAUUUGCACUUUACUUUGAGAAUUGUUAGUGGAGUAGCCGUUUAAUACUCUUCCACGUUUCAACAUAUAAGGAAAUGACUAUCACUUGGAUGUUGAUGGGGUUAGUUUCUAUUUGUAUUCACUUUUUUUAUUCCAUCUUUUAGUAGCA